AACGAACGCUGGCGGCAUGCCUAACACAUGCAAGUCGAACGAUGCUUUCGGGCUUUUUGGCGCACGGGUUCGUAACGCGUGGGAAUCUGCCCUUGUGUUCGGCAUAACUGUGAGAAAUUGCUGCUUAUACCGGAUGAUGUCUUCGGCCCAAAGAUUUAUCGCCCAGGGAUGAGCCCGCGUAGGAUUAGCUAGUUGGUUGGGUAAUGGCAUACCAAGGCGACGAUCCUUAGCUGGUCUGAGAGGAUGAUCAGCCACACUGGGACUGAGACACGGCACAGACUACUACGGGAGGCAGGAGUGGGGAAUAGAGGAAAAUGGGCGCAAGGAUGAAGCAGCAAUGACGGGUGAGAGAUGAAGGCAGUAGGGAAGUAAAGCGCAAUUAACAGGGAAGAUAAUGACAGUACCGGGAGAAUAAGCACCGGCUAACUACGUG
rnacentral:rRNA from 1 species